AGUGAACGCUGGCGGCAGGCCUAACACAUGCAAGUCGAGCGGCAGCGCGGGUGUAGCAAUACAUCUGGCGGCGAGCGGCGGACGGGUGAGGAAUACAUCGGAAUUUACCCAAUCGUGGGGGAUAACGUAGGGAAACUUACGCUAAUACCGCAUGAACUGGAGACAGCAAAGCGGCGGACCGAAAGGCGUCGCGCGGUUGGAUGAGCCGAUGCCGGAUUAGCAGUUGGCGGGGUAAAGGCCCACCAAGGCGACGAUCCGUAGCUGGUCUGAGGGGAUGAUCAGCCACACUGGAACUGAGACACGGUCCAGACUCCUACGGGAGGCAGCAGGUGGGGAAUAUUGGACAAUGGGCGCAAGCCUGAUCCAGCCAUGCCGCGUGUGUGAAGAA
rnacentral:rRNA from 1 species